rnacentral:tRNA from 1 species
AUUUAAAUAAUUUAAAAAAAAUAUUGAUUUGUGGAAUCAAAAAUAUGAAAUGUAACAUUUUAAAUC